ACGGGGUGCAGCAGGCGCGAAAACUUUGCAAUGUGCGCGAGCACGACAAGGUUAAUCCGAGUGAUUCCUGCUAAAGGAAUCUUUUGCUAGUCCUAAAAACACUAGCGAAUAAGGGGUGGGCAAGUUCUGGUGUCAGCCGCCGCGGUAAAACCAGCACCUCAAGUGGUCAGGAGGAUUAUUGGGCCUAAAGCAUCCGUAGCCUGCUUUGUAAGUUUCCGGUUAAAUCCAUUAGCUUAACUGAUGGGCCGCCGGAAAAACUGCAAAGCUAGGGAGUGGGAGAGGUAGACGGUACUCGGUAGGAAGGGGUAAAAUCCUUUGAUCUAUUGAUGACCACCAGUGGCGAAGGCGGUCUACCAGAACACGUUCGACGGUGAGGGAUGAAAGCUGGGGGAGCAAACCGGAUUAGAUACCCGGGUAGUCCCAGCUGUAAACGAUGCAGACUCGGUGAUGCCCUGGCUUGUGGCCAGCGCAGUGCCGCAGGGAAGCCGUUAAGUUUGCCGCCUGGAAGUACGUACGCAAGU
rnacentral:rRNA from 1 species